UACGUAGGGUGCGAGCGUUAAUCGGAAUUACUGGGCGUAAAGGGUGCGCAGGCGGCGUCGCAAGUCAGGCGUGAAAUCCCCGGGCUUAACCUGGGAACUGCACUUGAAACUACGAUGCUGGAGUAUGGCAGAGGGAGGUGGAAUUCCACGUGUAGCGGUGAAAUGCGUAGAGAUCAGGAAGAACAUCGGUGGCGAAGGCGCUCUGCUGGACCAUAACUGACACUCAGGGACGAAAGCUAGGGGAGCGAAUGGG
rnacentral:rRNA from 1 species